rnacentral:ncRNA from 2 species
GAGUUGCAUCAAGAGCGAGGCCUUGCCUCCGCCAACCUGCCCAACCCGGCAAGGUGGUCGCCUGAAAGGGGAUGUGGCCAGAUCGGCAAACAAGGGUAGGCCU